UAACGCGCGUGCCUCACUUCGCCACAGUGCGCUUUUAUUUGUAAUCACUCAGUCUCUGGCGCCGCCCGAAACCUCAGACCUCUUUAAAGCGGAACACUCUGGGCUUUUAAUUGCCACGGUGGCGAAAUACACAUGCCCGUUGUGUCACCUUAAUCCCGCCAUUUUCAGGGCUGACACGGCUCCCGAACCGAAGUUCUCUCACAAAGCAAUACGUUUUAAGGUAUCUGCGUUUUUCUUAGUGUAGCUUCGGGUAGACCCGUGACAGAAUCGCAAUUUGGUGAUUUAAGGGCACGUCAAUGGCUCGGCUUAUGGAUGUUGUUGAAGGCAGUUGUUUAUGAACACUUGUCUGUUUUCAGCAUCAUAGGCUAACAAUUGUUUCAUAUAUUUAUUUAUUUAUUAUUUGGCCAUUUAUUUCCAAAUGACAUCCUCCUGAUCACCACUAAAUUCAUGUGCAAGACAUAUAAUAUUGUAUUCUAUUUCGUUUAGACACUAACGUUGCAAGCCAACCAAUUUAUUAGCUAACUUGCCAUAGCCGUGUCUCGCAAUGAGGGCUUGAACUGCUAUGAUCUAUUUUACCUUCCACAAACCAUGUAAGAUGCUUAACCAAUAUAGCUUACAGAUGUUUGCUAUUGGUGCAGUUUAGCUAAGUUUAGCUGCAUACAGGGCUCACAGCAGCCAAAGAAAUUAGCUUGGUUUUGUUUUUCUUACAGUCGUCGACCUCCUUUGGUGCUUUUCAGGCGGCCAUUUUGAAACGAAGACCUCUAUAGACGGCGGCAGGCCUUACGAUUCCUGAAGAAUGGAUUUCACGAUCUUUUCCUCCCGGUUUUGGUUGAGCUAUUUUAGCAUGUCUCCUGGGUUAGCACUGCUGCUGAACUGUUCAGGCGGAUCUGUGAGCUUGUUAAGAAGAAGGUAGCUGAGCUACUGUGGUCCCCGGGCACAGGCGGUCAUCGUACGAGCAGGCCCGGAAAAAUAUGCUCGUCAGCCAGAAGAUGAGUGGGGAGCCCUGGGAUUUGAAAUACACUCAGACGCCCUCGAAUAUUACCGCCAGAAGACGACUGGGUGUACGGAUUUAGUCACAACGUGAGCUUAAAGGAUGAGCUCACUUCGCACAUUUACCGUUUCUCCAGAGUGCGCUGUGCCGCGACUAGACUUUUCAUGCUAAUUCUUCUCCAACAAGAUCGACGUUGGUGUCAACAAUUCCACCUACUUGUUUGCCCAUUCAAUCACAGCCUGGUCUUAGGACAUGUCUUUCAUUUUAGGAUCAGCCUCUCAUGCCCUGAUUACACAUUUCUGCCCCAUCCAUGUUUCACAAUUAUAAUCGUUCAUUAGGGCCAUCUUGUGUGUAUUCCAAUCCAUGUUUUGGACCGGAGUGAUGAGCGACAUCGUCUCGAAUCGGAUUUGGCUCACGCCAGUGCCUACUGUGGCCGCCAGCCCUGCCCUGGGCGGCGCACAAUUGCCUUUCCGUUACCCAAGAGAUUUAUGGGAAGGAUUCAGUCAGUGGGGAUGGCACUGUUCCUUGCUCUAGUGACCCCCGUUGGCUUUCCGAACACCCGUGGCUUGCUCUCGGGGGU